rnacentral:rRNA from 1 species
AACGAACGCUGGCGGCAUGCCUAACAUAUGCAAGUCGAACGAGACCUUCGGGUCUAGUGGCGCACGGGUGCGUAACGCGUGGGAACCUGCCCUUAGGUUCGGAAUAACUCUCCGAAAGGGGUGCUAAUACCGGAUAAUGUCUACGGACCAAAGAUUUAUCGCCUUUGGAUGGGCCCGCGUUGGAUUAGCUUGUUGGUAGGGUAAAAGCCUACCACGGCGACGAUCCAUAGCUGGUCUGAGAGGAUGAUCAGCCACACUGGGGCUGAGACACGGCCCAGACUCCUACGGGAGGCAGCAGUGGGGAAUAUAGGACAAUGGGCGAAAGGCUGAUCCAGCAAUGCCGCGUGAGUGAUGAAGGCAUUAGGGUUGUAAAGCUCUUUUACCCGGGAUGAUAAUGACAGUACCGGGAGAAUAAGCUCCGGCUAACUCCGUG